rnacentral:rRNA from 1 species
CGGCGUGCUUAACACAUGCAAGUCGAACGGUGAUGCCCAGCUUGCUGGGUGGAUCAGUGGCGAACGGGUGAGUAACACGUGAGCAACCUGCCCUCCACUUCGGGAUAAGCCUUGGAAACGGGGUCUAAUACCGGAUAUGAGCCUGCAUCGCAUGGUGUGGGUUGGAAAGUUUUUCGGUGGGGGAUGGGCUCGCGGCCUAUCAGCUUGUUGGUGGGGUGAUGGCCUACCAAGGCGUCGACGGGUAGCCGGCCUGAGAGGGCGACCGGCCACACUGGGACUGAGACACGGCCCAGACUCCUACGGGAGGCAGCAGUGGGGAAUAUUGCACAAUGGGCGAAAGCCUGAUGCAGCGACGCCGCGUGAGGGAUGACGGCCUUCGGGUUGUAAACCUCUUUCAGCAGGGAAGAAGCGCAAGUGACGGUACCUGCAGAAGAAGCGCCGGCUAACUACGUGCCAGCAGCCGCGGUAAUACGUAGGGCGCAAGCGUUGUCCGGAAUUAUUGGGCGUAAAGAGCUCGUAGGCGGUCUGUCGCGUCUGGUGUGAAAUCCCGAGGCUCAACCUCGGGCUUGCAUCGGGUACGGGCAGACUAGAGUGCGGUAGGGGAGACUGGAAUUCCUGGUGUAGCGGUGGAAUGCGCAGAUAUCAGGAGGAACACCGAUGGCGAAGGCAGGUCUCUGGGCCGCAACUGACGCUGAGGAGCGAAAGCAUGGGGAGCGAACAGGAUUAGAUACCCUGGUAGUCCAUGCCGUAAACGUUGGGCACUAGGUGUGGGGCUCAUUCCACGAGUUCCGUGCCGCAGCUAACGCAUUAA